UACGUAGGGUCCGAGCGUUUGUCCGGAAUUAUUGGGCGUAAAGAGCUUGUAGGCGGUUUGUCGCGUCUGCUGUGAAAUUUCGGGGCUCAACCCCGAACUUGCAGUGGGUACGGGCAGACUAGAGUGUGGUAGGGGAGACUGGAAUUCCUGGUGUAGCGGUGAAAUGCGCAGAUAUCAGGAGGAACACCGAUGGCGAAGGCAGGUCUCUGGGCCACUACUGACGCUGAGAAGCGAAAGCAUGGGGAGCGAACAGG
rnacentral:rRNA from 1 species